CGGAACGUGCCCGAUCGUGGGGGAUAACGGAGCGAAAGCUUUGCUAAUACCGCAUACGAUCUACGGAUGAAAGCAGGGGACCGCAAGGCCUUGCGCGGACGGAGCGGCCGAUGGCAGAUUAGGUAGUUGGUGGGAUAAAAGCUUACCAAGCCGACGAUCUGUAGCUGGUCUGAGAGGACGACCAGCCACACUGGGACUGAGACACGGCCCAGACUCCUACGGGAGGCAGCAGUGGGGAAUUUUGGACAAUGGGCGAAAGCCUGAUCCAGCCAUGCCGCGUGCAGGAUGAAGGCCUUCGGGUUGUAAACUGCUUUUGUACGGAACGAAAAGCCUCUUUCUAAUAAAGAGAGGUCAUGACGGUACCGUAAGAAUAAGCACCGGCUAACUACGUGCCAGCAGCCGCGGUAAUACGUAGGGUGCAAGCGUUAAUCGGAAUUACUGGGCGUAAAGCGUGCGCAGGCGGUGAUGUAAGACAGGUGUGAAAUCCCCGGGCUCAACCUGGGAACUGCAUUUGUGACUGCAUCGCUGGAGUGCGGCAGAGGGGGAUGGAAUUCCGCGU
rnacentral:rRNA from 1 species